UACGAAGGGGGCUAGCGUUGCUCGGAAUCACUGGGCGUAAAGCGCACGUAGGCGGAUCUUUAAGUCAGGGGUGAAAUCCUGGAGCUCAACUCCAGAACUGCCUUUGAUACUGGGAAGCUUGAGUCCGGGAGAGGUGAGUGGAACUGCGAGUGUAGAGGUGAAAUUCGUAGAUAUUCGCAAGAACACCAGUGGCGAAGGCGGCUCACUGGCCCGGUACUGACGCUGAGGUGCGAAAGCGUGGGGAGCAAACAGG
rnacentral:rRNA from 1 species